ACGCAUGAGCAUUUUAAGGCAGGCCGGAAGUCUGGGUGGGGACGGUGGCCCCGAGGGGACAAGCGUGGCCGCAUUAGCUCUUUCUGCCUCCCACGCAGCCUUAUUUUUUUAUUGUUGUUUUCUUGUUGCUGUUGUUGUUGUUCUCGGAGACGGAGUCUUGCUCUUGCUCUGUCGUCGCCCACGAUAGAGUACAGUGGCGUGAUCUCUGCUCACUGCAACCUCCGCCUCCUGGGUUCAAACAAUUCUGCCUCAGCCUCCGGAGUAGCUGGGAUUACAGGCGCGCGCCACUAUGCCCGGCUAAUUUUUGUGUUUUUAGUGAAGACGGGGUUUCACCAUGUUGGCCAGGCUGGUCUCGAACUCCUGACCUCGUGAUCCCUCCGUCUCGGCUUCCCAAAGUGCUGGGAUUACGGGCGUGAGCCACCGUGCCCGGCCGCAGCCUUGUUUUGACUGAGUCAGUGGGAGCCAUUACUGUUCCUAAAUGUAAACUGGCGUGACAGGAGUUCCGGGAUUGUCCACAGCACGGUGAUGUGGAAGCCCUGGGGAGAGAAUGAUAAAGUUAAAGAAAGGGGGUGAGGAACAGCUCCACCCGGAAGAGCGGGCUUCCCUAGCAAAUGAAUCUGCAAGGGCGCAGUGGAGGGGGCACGGCGAGUUCAGAUGGACCGAGGCUGGAAGCUGACGCGGUUGGAGGGGGAUGGGUGUAGCAGUUGGCAGUGGCGCUGGGGUGGAAGUGUGUGGGGUCACAGAUGUGUAAGGGUGGGCGCGGAGCAGACCCCCGAAGGUCCCUGAGGUCAGGCUGAGGCAUUGGACCAAAUCCGUACAUAGGCAUUUCUCUGAACUGCGCGCCACCUUUUGAGUGCCAUCUGUUUCCGUCCAGGACUCUGAUACAACUAUCCAGUCCGCUGCAGGGACCGGUCACUGUGUCACACAUUCUGUACACAGAUACAGCGACAAAAUGAAAUGACUGGAACUUAAAUGUGAAAACUCUUUACAAGUAAGCCCACAAUUAGAUACAUUUAUCUUACAUGUCAGGAAAAAAAAAAUUAUGAAAACAGGACAAAUUAUAUCACAAAAGAACCCCAAAGUAGAAAAAAUACCUAAGAAAUGUGUCUAACCAUGAAAAGUACUGUUCUCUUGGUGUCUUCACAUCGUGUCUUCUGUGUACUUAAGUACAAAACAUUGUUGCCUCUGAUUAAUGCACCCUGUACUUAUUUUUCUGUUGUCCAGUUACGUAUUUGGUUGGUUCCAGGGCUAUGUUCAUGUAGCCAUCCAGGCAAACCAGCACCCCUCCCUUAACCCACUUCAGAAUUUUACCCCAACUGUCUGAUGAUUUGCUCUAAGAAGUCACUAGGGGGUUGCUUUUCUUAAAAAAUCUAUUAUUAUUUUUUGAGACGGCUCUGUCGCCCAGGCUGGAGUGCAGUAGCACGAUCUCAGCUCACUGCAACCUUUGCCUCCCAGGUUCAAGCAAUUCUCUCUACAGGCGUGCACCACCACGCCCAGCUAAUUUUUGUGUUUUUAGUGAAGACAGGGUUUCACAGUAUCUGGAAUUCCGGACCUCGGGUGACCCGCCCGCCUCUGCCUCCCAAAGUGCUGGGAUUACAGGCAUGAGCCACUGUGCCUGGCCGGUAGGGGGUUGCUUCUGAAAACUUAUUUUAAUAAUCUUGGGUGGCCCAGGCGCGGUGGCUCAUGCGUGUGAUCCUAGCACUUUGGGAGGCCGAGGCAUGUGGAUCAUCUGAGGUCAGGAGUUCAAGACCAGCCUGGCCAACAUGGCGAAACCCCGUCUCUACUAAAAAUACAAAAAAAUUAGCCGGGCGUGGUGGCGCAUGCCUGUAAUCCCAGCUACUCAGGAGGCUGAGGCAGGAGAAUCGCUAGAACCCUGGGGGCGGAGGUUGCAGUGAGCCCAGAUCAUGCCACUGCACUCCAGCCUGGGAGACAGAGCAAAACUCUGUUUCAAAAAAUAAUAAUCUUGGGUGGCAGGAAACCUAAGUCAUAAUCCCGGCUCUUUUACUUAACCAGCCGUAUGACUUGGAAAACUCGUUUCCCUUCUCUCGGCUCCAGAUUCCUCAUCUUGCAGCUAGGAUCCAGAGCUCUCACUCCAGGAGCCCAGUCACAGCAAAAACCAAAACUGUACUUUUUUUUUUGGAGACAGGGUCUCUCAUUCUGUCACCCAGGCUGGAGUGCAACGACGUGAUCUCUGUCUCAGCCCACAGCAGCUUCAACCUCCCAGGCUCAAGUGAUCUUCCUGCCUCAGCUACGCAGUGUAUGGUAUUUUGUUACAACAACCAGAAUGUAGUAAGACAUUUAUUGAAGGAUAUCUUAGUUCCUUCCAAGUUUUUGGCAGUGAUAAAGAAAGCUGCCAUAAACGUGCACGUGCAGAUUUCUUUGUGGGCAGAAGUUUUCAACCCAUCUGUGUAAAUCCUGGGGAGCACUGUUGCUGGGAGCACAUAUUCUAAGAGUAUGUUUAGGAUUAUGAGAGACCGCCACACUGUCCUCCAAAGUAGCUGUACCAUUCUGCAUUGCCAGCACCAAUGAAGGAGAGUUUCUGUUGCUCCACAUUUCUGCCAGCAUUUGGUGGUGCCAGCAUUUUGGAUUUGGCAUUCUAAUAGGGUUCUCCAGAGAGCCAGAACUAAGAGGAUAUAUGUAUAUAUUGAAAGGGAGUAUAUUAGGGAGAACUGGCUCACAGGAUCAUCAGGCAAAGUCCCACUAUAGGCCAUCUGCAAGCUGAGGAAGGAAGAAGCUAGUCAUGUCUCAAAGUCCAAAAGCCUCAAAAGUAGGGAAGCCAACGGCGCAGGCUUCAGUCUGUGGCGGAAGGCCCAAGAGUCCCCGACAAACCACUGGUGGAAGUUCAAGAGUCCAAAGGCCAAAGAACCUGGAGUCUAAUCUCCAAAGACAGGAAGUAUCCAGCACAGGAGAAAGAUGAAGGCCAGAAGACUCAGCAAGCCAGCCCCUCCCACCUUCUGCCUGUUCUAGCCGCACUGGCGCUGACUGGCUGGUGCCCGCCCACACUGAGAGUGGGUCUUCCUCUCCCAGUCCACUGACUCAAGUGUCAGUCUCCCCUGGCAACACCCUCACAGACACACCCAGAAACAAUCCUCUUUUUUUUUUUUUUUUUGAGACCAAGUCUCCCUCUGUCACCCAGGCUGGAGGGCAGUGGCACCAUCUCGGCUCACUCCAACCUCCGCCUCCCGGGUUCAAGCAAUUCUUCUGCCUCAGCCUCCCGAGUAGCUGGGAUUACAGGCACGUGCCAUCACGCUGGCUAAUUUUUGUAUUUUUAGUACAGACAGGGUUUCACCAUAUUGGCCAGGCUGGUCUCAAAUUCCUGCCCGUCUUGGCCUCCCAAAGUGCUGGGAUUACAGGUGUAAGCCACCAUGCCUGGCCCCUUUUCCUGUUUUUUAAUCAGAUUGUUUUCCCGUUAACUGAGUUUUAAGAGCCCUUUGUAAAUCUUGGAUAGCAGUCCUUCAUGAGAUAGGUCUCUUGCAAAUAGUUUCUCCCAGGCCGCAGCUUUUCUCAUUAUAUUAAAAAUGUUUUUCAAAGAGCAGAGGGUUUUGUUUUGUUUUGUUUUUUUGAGAUGGUGUCUCGCUCUGUUGCCCCCAGUCUGGAGUACAGUGGCGUGAUCUCGGCUCACUGCAAGCUCCACCUCCUGGAUUCACGCCAUUCUCCUGCCUCAGCCUCCUGAGUAGCUGGGACUACAGGUGCCCGCCACCACGCCCGGCUAAUUUUUUGUAUUUUUAGUGGAGACGGGGCUUCACCGUGUUAGCCAGGAUGGUCUCGAUCUCCUGACCUCGUGAUCCAACCGCCUUGGCCUCCCAAAGUGCUGGGAUUACAGGUGUGAGCCACUGUGCCUGGCCUUGUCUUCACUUUUUUUUUUUUUU